rnacentral:rRNA from 1 species
AUUGAACGCUGGCGGCAGGCCUAACACAUGCUAGUCGAGCGGAGCGGCGGACGGGUGAGUAAUGCCUAGGAAUCUGCCUGGUAGUGGUGGAUAACGUCCGGAAACGGGCGCUAAUACCGCAUACUAUCAGAUGAGCCUAGGUCGGAUUAGCUCGUUGGUGGGGUAACGGCCUACCAAGGCGACGGACCGUAACUGGUCUGAGAGGAUGAUGAGUCAAACUGGAACUGGGACAAGGGCCAGACUCCGACGGGAUGCAGCAGUGGGGAAUAUUGGACAAUGGUCGAAAGCCUGAUCCAGCCAUGCCGCGUGUGUGAAGAAGGUCUUCGGAUUGUAAAGCACUUUAAGUUGGAAGGCGUUACCAACAGAAUAAGCACCGGCUAACUUCGUGCCAGCAGCCGCGGUGAUAC